GACGAACGCUGGCGGCGUGCUUAACACAUGCAAGUCGAACGAUGAAGCCGGAGCUUGCUCCGGUGGAUUAGUGGCGAGCGGGUGAGUAACACGUGAGCAAUCUGCCCUUGACUCUGGGAUAACUGCGGGAAACUGUAGCUAGUACCGGAUACGACACCUUGGGGCAUCCCAGGGUGUGGAAAGAAUUUCGGUCAAGGAUGAGCUCGCGGCCUAUCAGCUAGUUGGUGAGGUAAUGGCUCACCAAGGCGACGACGGGUAGCCGGCCUGAGAGGGUGACCGGCCACACUGGAACUGAGACACGGUCCAGACUCCUACGGGAGGCAGCAGUGGGGAAUAUUGCACAAUGGGCGAAAGCCUGAUGCAGCAACGCCGCGUGAGGGAUGAAGGCCUUCGGGUUGUAAACCUCUUUUAGCAGGGAAGAAGCGAAAGUGACGGUACCUGCAGAAAAAGCACCGGCUAACUACGUGCCAGCAGCCGCCGUAA
rnacentral:rRNA from 1 species